GCCUGGGUAACUCAGUUGGUAGAGUGCUUCCCUGAAGAGGAAGAAGUCGCCAGUUCAAAUCUGGCCCCAGGCA
rfam:Candidatus Zambryskibacteria bacterium RIFCSPLOWO2_01_FTLL_45_43 rifcsplowo2_01_scaffold_3729, whole genome shotgun sequence.